UACGUAGGUGGCAAACGUUGUCCGGAUUUACUGGGCGUAAAGAGCCCGCAGGCGGCCAUGCAAGUUCUGGGUGAAAUCUCCCGGCUCAACCGGGAGGGGUCCUGGAAAACUGCAUGGCUCGAGGCUGGGAGAGGGAUGCGGAAUUCCGAGUGUAGCGGUGAAAUGCGUAGAUAUUCGGAGGAACACCAGAGGCGAAGGCGGCAUCCUGGCCCAGUCCUGACGCUCAGGGGCGAAAGCGUGGGGAGCAAACCGG
rnacentral:rRNA from 1 species